CCUACGGGAGGCAGCAGUGGGGAAUCUUGCACAAUGGAGGAAACUCUGAUGCAGCGAUGCCGCGUGAGUGAAGAAGGCCUUUGGGUUGUAAAGCUCUUUUGUAGGGGAAGAUAAUGACUGUACCCUAAGAAUAAGGUCCGGCUAACUUCGUGCCAGCAGCCGCGGUAAUACGAAGGGACCUAGCGUAGUUCGGAAUUACUGGGCGUAAAGCGCGCGUAGGCCGUUGAGUUAGUUAAUUGUGAAAUCCCAAAGCUUAACUUUGGAACUGCAAUUAAAACUGCUCGACUAGAGUUUGAUAGAGGAAAGCGGAAUACAUAGUGUAGAGGUGAAAUUCGUAGAUAUUAUGUAGAACACCAGUUGCGAAGGCGGCUUUCCGGAUCAACACUGACGCUGAGGCGCGAAAGUAUGGGUAGCAAAGAGGAUUAGAUACCCUCGUAGUCCAUACCAUAAACCGGAUGAUGUNUANAUGUGUAAUUAUUUACUAGUAUCGCANCUACGACAUAAGUACAUCCGCCGUCGGGUAGGUACGACCGACGAACGGUAAACGUUAACGAAAUAGAAGUUAGUAACGGUCGUGUUAGACGUGCCGAACGGACGACGACGAGGGAGGUUAGG
rnacentral:rRNA from 1 species